rnacentral:rRNA from 1 species
UACGAAGGGGGCUAGCGUUGCUCGGAAUCACUGGGCGUAAAGCGCACGUAGGCGGCUUUCUAAGUCAGGGGUGAAAUCCUGGAGCUUAACUCCAGAACUGCCUUUGAUACUGGAGAGCUUGAGUCCGGGAGAGGUGAGUGGAACUCCGAGUGUAGAGGUGAAAUUCGUAGAUAUUCGCAAGAACACCAGUGGCGAAGGCGGCUCACUGGCCCGAUACUGACGCUGAGGCACGAAAGCGUGGGGAGCAAACGGG